rnacentral:rRNA from 1 species
AUUGAACGCUGGCGGCAGGCCUAACACAUGCAAGUCGAACGCGUGGCGGACGGGUGAGUAAUGUCUGGGACACUGCCUGAUGGAGGGGGAUAACUACUGGAAACGGUAGCUAAUACCGCAUACCAUCAGAUGUGCCCAGAUGGGAUUAGCUAGUUGGUGGGGUAACGGCUCACGGAGGCGACGAUCCGUAGCUGGUCUGGGAGGAUGACCAGCCACAGUGCAACGGAGACACGGUCAAGACUCCUGGGGGAGGCAGCAGGGGGGAUUACGUCACAAUCGGAGCAAGCCUGAUGCAGCCAUGCCGGGUGGAUGAAGAAGGCCGUCGGGUUGUAAAGUACUUUCAGCGGGGAGGCGUUACCCGAAGAAGAAGCACCGACUAACUCCGCGCCAGCCGCGGUAAUAC